GACGAACGCUGGCGGCGUGCUUAAUACAUGCAAGUCGAACGGAAAGGCCCUGCUUUUGUGGCGUGCUCGAGUGGCGAACGGGUGAGUAACACGCGAGUAUCCUGUCCUUGACUUUGGGAUAACUUCAGGAAACUGCGGCUAAUAUCCGAUAGGAUCUCCUGCUCCACGUUGGGGGUUGGAAAGUUUCGGCGGUUGGGGAUGGACUCGCGGCUUAUCAGCCUGUUGGUCGGGUAGUGGCUUACCAAGGCUUUGACGGGUAGCCGGCAUGGGAGGUUGACCGGGCACAAUAGGACUAAGGUAGGCCCCAGACGCCUACGGGAGGCAGCGGUGGGAAAUUUUGCACAACAGGGGCAAGCCUGAUGCGACAACCCCCGGUUCGGGAUGCCGGCCUUCGAGUUGAGAACCGCUUUGGCCGGUGACAAAGCGUGAGUGACGGUACUGAGUAAGAAAGCACCGGCUAACUACGUG
rnacentral:rRNA from 1 species